UGUUAAAAAUUUAAUUUAUUUUUACUAUUAAAAACUGACGUGAUUAAUGAAAUAAAUAAACAGUUACACGUGACAUGCUACAUGUCCCUCGUACUGACGUGCAUGAACCAUUUUUAAUAGUAAUUUAAUGGAAAUUUUAAUA
rnacentral:pre_miRNA from 1 species